CGCAUAUCCGAAGGUACGAAUCUGGUACAAUAAAGUUGUAUAGUCAUUAUUACAGGAAGCGGAAAUUUCAUCUAGUCGUUGACAUAAAGAAGAAAAGUCUGAAUCAUCAUUUUUACUUUGUUUCCCAACAAAUAAUGUAAAAGCAAUCUUCUUUCUGAAUUUUUGGCAGGAACGAGACAAAGAAGAUAGUAUUGUAACCCAAACUCUAGGACUUUCAGACACCUUAUGAAUAUUACUGAUCAAAAAAUCUGGAUUCAAUGAUAUUGGAAGUUCCAUGAAUUGAGAAAAUUGCCAUUUACAAAAUGAGCCCACUUGAUUGUCAAUUAAGAUUCGACAUGCAUCCUGAAUCAUUUCAAAGCGAACAGUGUCGUCGGAGAACCGAUACAAAGUUCCACAGCAUUUUAGGAAAUUAAUUACCUUAAUUUUCAAAUUGCUUUUUAAAUUUUCUGAGGCUGACGUACGUUCCAACUGGAUUGGUACCUGUCGUUUCGCUAAAUCAAUGCCAAUCAUAUCUGCAGUAGUCUCAAAAAUAAAUCGUACAAUUUGGUUGAGAUUAUUAGAGCUGCUUUUAUAGCUAUAAAAAAUCUUUUCUAGGUUAGCAAUCCAUUCAGAGCAUGUUGUGUCUCCUAAAGAGCGGAAAAAUUGCAAGCUGCAUAUUGACAAUGCAAUAUCUAAGGGGACCAAUUUUGCCGAUAAUAAAUCACCAAAAGUUGUUGGUAUAAUUCCUUCAUUAAACUCCAAAUCGUUAUCUUUCAAGCAUUCUGCUUUCAGGGUGUUCCAGUCUGGAACACGAGCUUUUGAAUUGCUACAAUAUUCGUACCUAAGGUCGUCAUCAUAAAUAGGGUUAGAACGUAGAACAUUCAAAACAUUUGAUCCAACACUUUUUCCUAUUAAUUCAUCAAUUUCAUCUCCCGUUUGAAAGGUUUGAGUGCUGUCAUAUUGCAAUAAAUUUUGUACUGCUAAUUUUCUUCUUUUUGCAACCGAAUCGUCAAUUGUAGCAGUACUAGAAAGAAGAUCAAUAUUCCAUCUGUAUGUAGAUGAAUUAGAAGAAUCAUUUUUCAAAUACUGUUUUCGCGAUUGGGCUCUUGCCGAAGGCACCAAAGAAGAGAUAUCAGGAAGCUCGUCCAACUCUUCAGAAUCAUCACUAUCAAGUAUGUGGUCAAUUAAUUUUGAAGAAUUAUCUAAAUCAGGAAAUUUUGAAAUGUUAUUAGACGCAUUCAUAGAACUAUACCAGCAAAGACACUUUUGAUGUGCUUUGGUAAAAGGGUGGAUGGAUAUAUAACAAAAAUUAUGAAAUAGUAAAUAGUGGAAAGUA